AGUGAACGCUGGCGGUAGGCCUAACACAUGCAAGUCGAACGGCAGCACAGUAAGAGCUUGCUCUUACGGUUGGCGAGUGGCGGACGGGUGAGGAAUACAUCGGAAUCUACUUUUUCGUGGGGGAUAACGUAGGGAAACUUACGCUAAUACCGCAUACGACCUACGGGUGAAAGCAGGGGAUCUUCGGACCUUGCGCGAUAGAUUGAGCCGAUGCCGGAUUAGCUAGUUGGCGGGGUAAAGGCCCACCAAGGCGACGAUCCGUAGCUGGUCUGAGAGGAUGAUCAGCCACACUGGAACUGAGACACGGUCCAGACUCCUACGGGAGGCAGCAGUGGGGAAUAUUGGACAAUGGGCGCAAGCCUGAUCCAGCAAUACCGCGUGAGUGAAGAAGGCCUUCGGGUUGUAAAGCCCUUUUGUUGGGAAAGAAAAGCAGCAGGUUAAUACCCCGCUGUUCUGACGGUACCCAAAGAAUAAGCACCGGCUAACUUCGUG
rnacentral:rRNA from 1 species